UUUUUAAACUAUUAGAAAAAAAUCGUUAAAAUGACCAAAUCAUAGGGAUCAAAACGAAAGUUAUACCAACUUGUACAAUAUUAACCAUUCAUUAAACCAACACUUUUUGGAGGCAACAAAGUAGUGAUUUGUUUGUUUUCUCCCAAUAACUUUGUUUAACAAUAACUCCACAAGUUAUCUGAAACUGAUAAUCAAAUAUUCAAACUCACCAAACCAAAUCUCAUCACUCAUAAACCCUAGAUCGACACCAACCAAUGCCGAUGCCUAAAAAGUUCUUCCAAGCUCGAUCUCAAUCCAACUCACCUAACAGAUCAAUCUUACAAGCACUCUGUAUCCUGAUCGGCAUCACCGGUGUGUUAUUAUUCAUCAUCGCCGUUUCACGAGGACGAAUCGGAGCAGAAAGCAAAUGUAAGUACGGUAAACCGCUUUCCGUAUCGGUAGUUUGGGAUAAAAGUGGCGGUUCUAGUGGUGGAAGUGAUAGGUUAGGGUUUGUGAGUGGUGGAGAUCAGAAGAGGCGUAAGGUGAUGGGAUUUGUUGGAAUUCAGACCGGUUUUGCCUCGGUUGGUAGGCGGAAAGCGUUGCGGAAGACGUGGAUGCCUUCGGAUCAUCAAGGUCUUCAACGAUUGGAAGAGGCCACUGGCUUAGCUUUUAGGUUUAUUAUUGGCAAAACUAGCGAUGCAUCAAAGAUGGCGGAACUUAGGAAAGAGGUGGAGGAAUAUGACGACUUCUUGAUGUUGGAUAUUGUUGAGGAGUAUAGUAAGCUUCCAUACAAAACGUUGGCAUUUUUCAAAGCUGCGUAUGCACUCUACGAUUCUGAGUUUUAUGUUAAAGCUGAUGAUGACAUAUAUCUAAGACCAGAUCGGCUCUCGCUGCUCCUGGCUAAAGAACGUACUCACUCACAGACUUAUCUUGGAUGCAUGAAGAAAGGUCCUGUGUUCACUGACCCGAAACUCAAAUGGUAUGAACCUCUAGGGCAUAUGCUUGGGAAAGAGUACUUUCUCCAUGCUUACGGUCCAAUAUACGCUCUUUCUGCAGACGUUGUUUCAAGCUUGGUUGCUCUAAGAAACGACAGGCAAGUUUGUCCCCACCUUAGGGCACUAUUAUAACAUUUUUUGUUCAUUAUUCAAUCAUAGAGAUCUGAAAAAGAUACUACAUUACUCAUAUACCAAAACAGAUAUUUGGAUUAACUGUUACUAAUUUUAUAGGCCCCACUUGCGGUAUGCGCAUAUAAUGUAUAUAUGUGUGGGCGCUCGGGGGGCAAAAGUGAAAGUGCACCAAUUCUAACGUUAUUUUACUAAUUUCGUGAAAAUAACGUUAAAAGAGGCGGAUGGUUAAUCAUGCAUCAUGUGGUGGCGUUGAUAGCCGAAAGACAAGGGGGUACAUGCACUAAUCGGCAUUUGUCUCAAUUGCUGAGUGUUAUGUGCCUUAUGUCUAAGGCUUGAUGCAAAACUACAAUCGAGCCGGGGGUCUCACUGGAAGCAGCCUCUCUUAUUCCUACGGGGUAGAGUUUCCGGAUGUUCAGCAAUGAGGAUGUUACUAUCGGCGCAUGGAUGCUUGCAAUGAACGUCAAUCACGAGGACAAUCGUCAACUUUGUCAACCUGAAUGUACCGCUACAUCCAUUGCUGUGUGGGACAUUCCGAAGUGUUCCGGGCUUUGUAACCCCGAAAAGAAGAUGUUGGAACUUCAUAAAUUGGAAAGCUGUGCAAGCAGCCCAACGUUGCCAUCUGAUGAAGACGAGUAACGGGUACACUUAACUUGGUCUUCUGAAGUAUACGCUUUCACUCUUGAAUUCUACGACCCCACGCCUUAGAUAAAUUUUGUGUGUUUGUAUCUCAUUCUUUCAUUAUAUAUAUAUCAACUUGAUCAACAAAAGUUUUGAAAUGGCACAGAUUGUAAUGUAAAAGUAGUUCUAGAGGUUAGAAUAUCUAGAUGGAAAUACUAACCUGCUACGUCAUACACUUUAAUGUAUAUCUUGAUGGUUGAUUGGUUUCCCCAUUAA